rnacentral:rRNA from 1 species
AUUGAACGCUGGCGGCAGGCCUAACACAUGCAAGUCGAACGUGUGUCGGACUUGUGAGUAAUGUCUGGGAAACUGCCUGAUGGCUGGGGAUAACUACUGGAAACGGUAGCUAAUACCGCAUACCAUCAGAUGUGCCCAGAUGGGUUUAGCUAGUUGGUGGGGUAACGGCUCACCAAGGCGACGAUCCCUAGCUGGUCUGAGAGGAGGACCAGCCACACUGGAACUGAGAAACGGUCCAGACUCCUCAGGGAGGCAGCAGUGGGGAAGAUUGCACAAUGGGCGCAAGCCUGAUGCAGCCAUGCCGCGUGUAUGAAGAAGGCCUUCGGGUUGUAAAGUACUUUCAGCGGGGAGGCGGGACCCGAAGAAGAAGCAACGGCUAACUCCGUGCCAGCAGCCGCGGUAAUAG